CUCGGCGGGCCGAUCCCGGGGUUGCGGUCGGCCGGGUCGCCCCAGCCCCGCAGGACUGUGACCUCUGCGGGGCUGGCUCCUGCUCAUGUCACACCCCUGUCCCCCCGGUAGAAACUGCGGGAGGAAGUGCGGGAUGCGCCUCGGGUUUGCUGAAACUGAUCCAUCUGCGCUGGAAACGACCGGGCUCACACAGGCAGGCGCCCGGGCGGGAGGCUCUGGGCCGGGGGCGGGCUACAAGCUCUCCCGCCGGCACCUGGGCGUUGGCAGCGGGGUGCCGGGGGUGCGGCCCUGCCUGGGGAAUCCCGUACGCCCCCACUCCAGCGUUAACACGAGCGUUUGCGAGAGGGAAACCUCCCCUGGAGGUCGGGGCUGCCGCCACACCCCCGCAGCGCUGCCCGGGGUCAGGCCCGGGGGGUACACGCUCUCCCCGGGUGCUCCCUCCCCCGGGGCCGGGCACAGCCACAGCCACAGCCACAGCCACAGCCACAGCCACAGCCACAGCCACAGCCACGCUCCCCCGCCCGCGCCUCCCACGGCCCGCGGCACCGCCGGAGCGGCCGCCGGCAGGGGGCGCUCUGGCUCCGGGAACGCGCCGCCGCUGACCCGGACGCGUCCCGGCCCCGGCCCCGGGCCUGGCCCGCCGCGCCACGGGGCAGGGCACGGGCAGGGGCACGGGCACAGGCGGCUGCCUGGGGCGCCCGGCAGCUAUUUCUGCUGCAGCUUCCUGUCCUUGACCCAACAAUACAUUGUGAAGUUCUCCGGAGUCAAUGAAUCCUGGUAAAAUGCAGUAAAGGAUUUAAGGUUAUCGUCUGUCUCUCUCUAACUUCUGACAUCUCUUUAUAACAAGAAAGAGUCACAGCCAACUGUAACAGGAGGGCAACACAAUGAAUCCUGGUAAGACCGGGAAGGGGGGAGGUUCAACUUUGCUGCUCCUUUGCCCCUAUUUCUUCCUCACAGAACAGAAGUGCCAUCUGUUACUAGUUCUAACAUGCAUGCGUUUGAUUUCCAUUCAGUAAUAACUAACACAGGAAAAAGAUUAUCCAGUGAUCUAAAGUACUAUCAGCAUUAGCAAAUCUUCCCAUCCAGUGUUUUGUUUGCACCUCUGAAGAUCUUGCAGAUGAAAUGGAUAUGGGCAAGUGCCUUAAUGGCCUAGAAUUAUUCUGUUCUCUGGUAGAGGACCAUAUGGUCAAGGUAGGGAUCAUGACCAGACUGAGGAUAUUUAGGUGCUUAGUUCAGAAAGAGAUUUAGGAAAAUCAAACAAGAGGACUGAUGUUUAGAUUCUCCAACCUGAAUUCACUACAAUCUCUAUUACUCAGUGUUGUAUUAAAUCAUCAUAAUAAUGCAAAAUCAAGUCACAGCAUGUCAUGUGAGGCUAGACAGUAUAAAGUAUAAGCCUGUUUCAAAGUAAUCUGUAAAAAUGUUCUUAGGCUUCACUCAAAUUUGUCACAUUCACAAGCAAAAAGCCCAACACCACCAAACACCUCCCAGUCCAGCAAAUUCAGUUUAAGAUUAUGCUGGUUUUGGCUGAGGUAUUUCUUCAUAGCAUCUAGUAUGGGGCUGUGUUUUGGAUUUGUGCUGGAAACAGUGUUGAUAAUUCAGGGAUGUUUUAAUUAUUAGUGAGCAGUGCUCACACAGAGUCAAGACCUUUUCUGCUCCUCACCCCACCCCACCAGUGAGGAGGCUGGGGGUGCACAAAUGUUGAGAGGAAACACGGCUGGGACAGUUGACCCCAACUGACCAAAGGGAUAUUCCAUAGCAUAAGGUGUCAUGCUCAGUAUAAACUAGAGAUGGAAGUUGGCUGGAGAUUGCGGUUUGGGGACUGCAGCUCAUGGACUGGGUGAACAUUGGCUUGUUGGUGGUAAGCAAUUGUUUUUUAUUUGCAUUACUUUGUCUUGGGUUUUAUUUCUCUCCUUUUUUUUUUUUUAAUUGGUGGUGUUGUUAUUAUUAUUAAACUGCUGUUAUUUCAACCCAUGAGUUUAUCUGCUUUACCCUUCCAAUUCUCUUCCCUCCAUCCUGCCAUGGGGGAGUGGGUGAAUGGCUGUGCUCUGCUUAGUUGCUGGCUGGGGUUAAACCAUGACAAAGAUCUGAAAAAACAAUGAAAACAUCUUUUCUUCCUAACUCACUGCAGGUGCCAAAGACCAUCUGGAUCCUUCAGUUAUGCCUAGUUGUGCCUGAUGUCUUACUGUUGAAAGAAAUGGGGUGCAGCAGCAGAUGCCAGCAAAGUAAAGGUGCCUACAUAGUGCUGUUUGCAAAGCAGGCCUCCGGGGAAGUAUUUUCAGACAGCAACAAAUCCUCCUGCCCUCCUGGCCUUUUCAAGGCUGAAGAACUGCAGUGCCCCCAGCUUCUCCCAGCACGCUCCCUGCUACAGCUCCCACUGGAGUAGCACCAGUAGGUUAAUGUCUUUCUUGUACUGUAGGAGAUACAGUAAUUACAUGAAAAUUUUUCAUUUAUAACAUCUGUUUUUUGUUCAUAUACUUGCUGAUAGUGUAACACCCUUAACUUGUUCUACAGCUGUACUGUCUUCUUGAGUUUUGUCCUGUUUGGUUAAGUUGGAUCUGCUUCUACUUCAGUUCGUUCUUCUGAAGUCCAAAUUUCUCCUUGCGCUGCCAGUUCUUCAGUUACCUCCCUUGCCACUAACCAGACAACCCAUGUUUCAGCACGUUAUAGGCUUUUCAAGAGAAAAAAAAUUGCUUUUUUUAAUAUUUUUUUCUUUUUGCAAAAUAUUGUUCUACUUUCUGAAUACAUUGGCAAGAAGCUGGAACUCAAGGGUAUGGUCCCGAAGAGCUGAUUAACACACUGGUCUUGGACCAACAAAGUUUAGGAAAGAGAAUACUUAGAGGAAAGAAUACAGGAUUUUAAGAUUAGAAGAGUGGGGGAGCUCUUCUGAGUUUGACUCUGCAAAAUUUCUGACAGCACUUGGCUCUGCCAUACUGCUGCAUGGAGUGCUUCUGAGUUUCAUCUGCAGUCACUGAGAACAGAGGAUAUUCAGUACUUACCAGAAAGUAUUCUCCCUUUUGAAGGAUGAAUCUCUUGAAGACACCACCCCCCCCCCCACUGUUAGGAAUAUGACCUUUUCAAGUACUUAAAAUUACUUAAUUAGCAAUAUAACCACUAGAAAGAACAAAAUCAUUCUAGCAAAAGUAACAGAUCUGUAAUUGCAGGUGUUACAGAAUGUAGUACAAAAGAUGGUGUUUCCAAAAUUUGUUUUAAAGUGUUUUAAAAGGCUAUAUAAAGAAGGGAAGCAAGCAAGCUACCACGUAGUGGAUUACUUUCCCCUCAGAAAGUAAUUCUUACUUCACUUUUUGUGAAGUAAGAAUAGGGGAAACAUGUAACAAGCGUCUUGCUAUUAAAUUUGCCCAUGACAAAUAGUGCAGCUGCGUGUAGUGUGCCAGAACAUCUGCAGAAUCACGACACAUGCAGAAUCCCCCACACUAAGAGCGUGACAUUAUACUGAAAACAAUUCAGUUGUAGAAGCAAUAUAAAUCCAUUUUAUAUAAUCUUUCUCCACCUUCUCCUCCCCCUUAUCUUUUGAAUCAUGUUAAAUUCAGGAUUCUGACACUUCUUCACAGCAUCAGUUAAAAAGUAUAAAAGUGACUAAGCAUUUCAGCAUUAUCUUCUUCUUUCAUUAGCAGCUAGAAUGCAAGUAUAUCUUAUCUGAAGAAACAAAAAAGAAAGAUAACCAGUGGCAGAAAUGCACUAGACACCAGAGCUUACUCCAAGUGGAACCUGACAUCGUUUGCAGAUGCAAUUUAACUCUCAAGAAAUCAAGGGGUAAUUUUCUGUGUCAGCAUCUUGUGUGGUUUUUCAGUUGAAAGUGAUCAGUCGAAUUGCUGCCAGUCUUUACUUCACCCAUGUAAAUGACAACACAAAGUACUGUGAUAUGUAAUAUCACAAAGUGUUAUGGAAAAAUAUGCCUAAAGUAUAUAGAUUUAUAAAGUAAGGGGAAUCUCCUUGCCUGGAAUUUUUUGAAUUCUCACAGUUUACCUUUCAAAUGCAGCUAUGGUGGAAUUUGGUAAAAGUUCCUUUAAGCUCCACAUUUGCCUUUUUCAAAAUCCUUGAAGGCUUUUAUUUUUCCCAAAAUGAUUUUAGCAAAACGUUUGCUUCCUUCUUCUAAAUAUUCUAUUGUUUGCUCUCUGAAAUAGCUUCUUUGCAAUCUUUAGAUUUUAAAAGUAAGAAAUUUUAUAAUGGCAAUGCAAAUGCUGAUUUUUGUAAUGUUUGAGGUUGUCUAAAGACUAUGUGAGAAUAAUACUAUGACAAGGCAAAUACAUGCAUGCUAUGAAUGCCUGGAUCAUUAUCAACUUGCUUCUUUGAAACAGCUUACAUGAAUUAGGACAGGUCAGGCAUGGUAGCUAUGUGAAGCUCCAAGAUAAUUUCCAAUUUUUUCCGCAGACUGCAGGUCAAGCAUGAAGCUAGAAGAGCGAGCCGGCUUGGUCAUAAUUUUCAACUCUUUGCCCAUAAAAUUCCUGAAACUCAACUAAAAACACAGAUUCUUUUAAGGAUUUUAUUGAUAACAUAGAGUUUUAGUUUACUGACUUGCUGAUACUCUUUGGUCAAGUCCUUUGCACUCUUACUUCAUUCACCACCUGAACAAAGCCUUGUUUUCCUGUAUCAGAGAGACAUACUGUGAGUAAUUGUGAAGGUUUUUAAAGCACUUUGAUGAUGGAAAAGAUAUACAACUGAUAUUACCUGAUCAUAUUUUCUUACUAUUAAGGGUAUAUUUAUCUCUUAAUUGAUUCCUCAUUUAAUAAUACAAUUAUUUUUAACAUCCACUUCCUGGUUUGCAUCUCCAGUAACUGCUUGCACAAGAUACACAGUCAUAUGCAUCACCAUAGCAGAAAGGAAUGUUGUGUGCCCUGCAAUGCAUUUAUGGAGUUGGAAAAUGCUUUUAUUAACUUUUCAGUGUCCCCAGCUUUCACAUGGAGAGGCACACAUCCAGUGGCCAGAUGUAACUGCAAUCAGCUGUGGCCACUCCAAGCUAAAAAUGAGUGUCUGAGCAUCCUGCUCACUAAUCCUUCCUCUGGUGGUGCUUGUGUUUGGUCUCUUGGGUAAAUGGUUUAACAGCUCCUUGUAGUCUUGGGGUCCUGUGACACAAUUUUUAACAAGUUAGCACAAAAAGGAGUUGUGGAAAAAAAUGACCCAGGGAAAGCUACAUUUAUAUGGUAUGUAAAAUAAAACACUAAAAUUCCCCUCUUGCAGAUUUAGUUUUAUGGUGAUUUGAAAAGUUUUAUUUUAUUUUCCUCAUGAUGAAGACAUAGUGAUUCUUGAAGGGAAAACACAUACACAUGGAUAUAGUCACCGUGGAUAAGUAAAUUGAAAAAUACAGAUUAUGAAAUAAAUACAAUUCUAAAAAAUAAACAUAUUUGGUUUAGACCCAAAGGAGCCAAAUUCAUCAUGAAAAUUAUUAUUAUUGUAGCCAAUCUAAUUCUUCUAGUUGUUUUUCUUUAUUUGUAUUUCUGCUGUUGUGAGUCUUGUUUACAGCUUCUCAGCGAGAAGAAUAUCCCAAAUGAAAUUACUGUCAGCAGCCAAAGAAAGUAUCCAUAAUUCAUCCCAAAGCACUGUCAACUUAAUUUUAAAGUAAUCUUUCUGCUUUAUGAGUUUAGACUGAAGUGGUAAAUUUGCAAAUCCCUAAAUCAAACCAUAGGAAAUAAAGGAAAUACAUAUCUCCUUUUCAAAUAUUCUGUUUUCCUCAAGUUUCAUUGUAAGCAUAGUUUUUAGUAAUUAAAUCUUCAAUUACUAGAAACAGAAAGAAAUAAAAUUGUGAACUGUAUUCUGUACAUCUGUACACAACACAUCUCUGUUGUGACUCCAGAACCAUCUCCUGGGCUAUAGAAAAGUUCUAGAUUUAUAAUAGCAGAAAUUAAUUUAGAUUGUGUAUUCCUCUGAGCACAGUGAGAAGCACAUGUGAGUAUUUGUGUAUCAGGUUCAGCCUACUGAGGUCUGUAAAAGGCACGCUGUGCUGUGAGGUAUCCAACAUUUCCAAGUGCUGUUCUGGGGCCUGUGCAGGUGUGAGAGUAGUGCAGACACUCCUGAAAUGUCCUCCGUCGGGAGUUUCCAAAUGUUUUCAAACUGACCUCACACACUGCGAGUAACACUGAAGCUGAGUCAAAUUCUUUAGAUCCAAGAGACCCAUUUAGAGAGCAGGUCAGGAAGCCUUCUAUAGGGAAUCAGUGAAAAAUCUGGUGAAGCCUGUGUCCCUGAGUGCAAAAACAGCAGCCUGGCAGUGAGUGUGAGCAUGGUCUUGUUUCUGCUCUUCUGCACACUGGGGAAAAUCGUGCAGAAUUCAUUGUCCCAGGACUCAGCUUAUUGCCACAAAACCAGCAGAGCCUCAGCAUGCAUUCAGGCUCAGAACUGCAACCAGCAGUUACUGAAUAGCAGCCACGUUCUGAAUCUCAACACACCAUGAAAAUCCUCCUUUAAUCAAAUGCUCCCAGGGGAGCAAGAAAUUCAAGAUGCUCUUCCACCCUGGGCUGGUGCACACCACUAGGUCAACACUUGCCAUAAAGAGCUUUCUGCUUGUCGAUGCAGUGUGGGGGUGGCAGUCGGGGGGGACACUCAUAACAAGCAAAACCAACAGGCAGCACGUAAGGUAACAUGAGAACAUGAAGGGAGCAAUAAAGAAGAGGCAGAAGGUACAGUACUGAGUGGGGCACUGUGAUGGCUGAAUUCAAAAGCAUUUUGCUUCUCAGCUUGAACUUUUUAAUUAAGGAAUUUCACAGUAAUUUUGACUAAGCUUGAAGAGGAACAAUUUCAGUGUUCUGGCUCACUAAAUACUUUCUUGCAGUCUAAAUAGAUGCAAAGCUCGGAGCUGAAGGAAAUCAGUGCAUUAGCAGCACUUUCUUUCCAGCCUGCGCUGUAGAUAAGUGCUGUCCUGUGGCAACCUUUUUGGGGUCAAGUGAUUUAGAGAGCUUAGACAAGGCUGGGGUUCAGGAUCCCUUUACUCGGACACAAUCCUGAGUAGCACAGGCUGUGAGGAAAUAUUUUCUGACAUUUACUAGAGGGGCAGGGGAGGGAAGGGAGGACUCCUGGUAGCUGUAGGAGAGACAGUAGGCACAGCUAAACUAGAAGGAGGGGAAGGGAUCAGGAAUAUAAUGAGGAGGUGGGGGAAAUGACACUGGAAUAAAAGGGUGAGUAUAUAAGAUACACACUCAUCCUGGCCUUCCUCUGUUCAAAGCACUCCCUCCAAGGGUGGGUACAAGACUUGAAUAGAGGGGAUGGAUGUCAAAAUAUUUCCAUAAGGAAUAUAAGUGCAAUAAAUCAGAGAAAAAGGGCAGAAUGGAGGCAAGGAGCAAAUGGUAGGAGAAUUAUUUUAGUUCUAAGUGAAUGAUUAUGUCUCCUGAGUGAUUACACAUCAGGAUGGUGGUGUGUUGGGGAGGAUUGUUCAGCUAGAUAGAAAGGAGUGCUCAAAUUGCAGUCAUUGAACUGUAGUGCAUACAAGGGUACAAAUAAGAAAAAUAGACAAGUAAAAAUCCAACUGGAGUUAACAUGUCUUGGGCACUGCAAUCCUUGGGAGUUAAGGUAACUAUCAUACAAAGAAGACAGCUUUCAGAGGAAGCUACUUUGAGUACUUGCAGAACAUAAUCACAGAGGGAGAGCUGACGAAGAAAAUAACAGACUAUUAAAAAUACUUUGAACAUAACUUGCAAUAUACUGGGUCAAGUACAAGAUCAGUAAUUUCUUCCAAGCUGUCUACCAAAACAGGGCCUCCAGCAAGAAAUACCUGCUGUAAGACACACACCUAUAGAGUCAUUCUAGUACUGGGCUGGUGAAAGGCAGGGGACACAACGCCAUUGUGCUGUAUCCCAUUCGUUAUACUUUGAUGAAUGUAAUGUACUUUAGUCUGAACUCAUCUUUGCUCCAUCUGGAGCAAGGUCAGAAAUUACUAUGGGAACCAUUGCCAGUUAUACCUUCAGAUGUUUAAAAUUAGAGUUAUACUGCUUUAUUUACAUGCUUGUAUUUUAUUUCCAGGUGUUUUAUGAGAGCAUGGAACUGCACAUCACAGCACCUUUUCUCCAUGGGUUGAGACUGUUGUAACACUCCAAACUUCUGCUACCCACAUACCCUCCACUGCAGUAAUUCUUUGGUACUGUGGAGAGUCAGUCACACAGUGCUGAUCAGAUCAUGUGCCACCUGUUAUGUCCACUAGUAUAUGGGAAUAUAGCAAGGAAAAGAGAAUAACGAAGCUUUAGUGGUGUGGUGUCCCUCACAGUCAGUGUAGUAAGUUAGAACAAACUGCAAAAACUCAGAGCUAUUUUCCUCAGCAGGUCAGCAUUCAGGGAAACCCAGAGCACAGGGAGAGUUACUGCCACCAUUCCCCCCCUUCCCCAGACUGGCAUUCUGGUCAAAGUUAAUGAUUCAUAAGAUUCUGCACUGAUUUCACUGUGAGCUUCCACAUUUGCAUAAGUAAAAGCUUCUGCAGCUUCUGUAGGGAAAUUCUUAGUGAAAUUGCAGCACAAAACAUUGAUAUUAUGUAAUUAUAGUAGUUCAUUGUAACUUAAAUGAAAUUGUUACUUUAAACUUGCUCUAAGUGGCUCACAAUGGAACUUUGUAUGACACACCUACAAAACAAAUGAGUUAAUCACAAUAUGUGUCAUUUUUAAUUUUUCUCUUUCAUUUUUCUUUCAGUCAUUCUCUCUUUGUAAUUAGCAUGAAGACUACCCUUCAGUCAAAACUAGCCACCUGGAAAGUUUCAGCUUGUAAUAUGCAGCUUUUUUUGUGAAUUAUGAAUGUGCUAAAGAAGAGACCUUUCUCCCCACACCCACUUCCUUGCAUAAUUCAAAUAUGAAUGAAUGAAUUUUAUUCAGGCUUGCCAAAAAAAUCAUAUUUCAGCUGAUAACAAGCAUGAAAAAUUUCACAUGAAAGGGAUUUUUUUUUUUAAGAAUAUUCCGAGCAUGGGAGAACAGCAGGUUAAGACAGAAGUCUUAGUGCAGCCUUAAAUAUAACAAUUGUUAGCAAGCAAAUACUAUAUCCAAGCACUAAAUUUUGCUUUGUCCUGCCCUGGUGCACAGUACUGGGGACAGAAUAGAAUAAUAAAAGCUGGUCCCCUUAUGCAAACAGCAGAGCACAGCACUUGACAGAAUACAAGAAGAAGGUGAGCCUGCCUACUGUUCUGGCUUGCUAACCAUAUUGCUAAGGUCUGUAGGUUAGUUGUCACCUAUAGCUCCAGUCAGCUGGCAAAUGUAGUUCAAACACUAGCAAGGGGCAUGUUUUUGGUCCUUUCCAGAAGAACAUUUUACCAGUUCCUUGCCUCCAAAUAUACAGUCCUAUUAAAAAAAGUAUUUGAAGGAAGUUCAUAUAGGUAACAUGAUGGUUUAACAGGGCAAAAAGGGAAUGGAAUAGUGCUAGGUUUUUGUCUGAUUACCUGUGUAUUUUAAAAAAUAUGUGUCUGUAGAGAAGUUAUUAUCUGCAUCCCUCACUUACCUUAAUGUUUUUCAGGCAAAGCAGAAUGAGAUUUUGACUGGUGCCAGUACCACUUUGAAAAUAAACUAUUACAGGAAAGAAAAGUUGCAAUCUGGAACGCAUUUCUGCAUUGCAUUUUCUUUUGUUCCUAAUAGUGGUUUGGGGAUAAGCCCUGCCCUCCUUUCCUACCCAAAAAACAGGAUUAAAAAAACCAUACUAAGCAUUUAUUAAAAAACUGCCCAUUGCAGUGGCUAAACAGUAGUGAAUACUUCAGUAUUACCUUACAGAUUCCCAUCGAUUGGAGGAUCAACAGAAGGGAUUUGCAGAUGGCAAGCAAAAAAUACCCUUCUAGUCUGAUGUGAGUUGACUGUUGUAAGUUGAGCUUGGCAGCAAGUGACCAAAAUUGAGUUGUCAGCAUCCUCCUGCGUAGUGGAAGAAGUUGUUGCUUUCUUGUGCAGAUGCAAGAAUUUCUGUGGGAAAACAGAACAUAAUCACGGUUAUGAAUGUCUCUGUGGAUUGGUAAUGUCUCUAAUACAUAGAUCACUUUUGCAAAUUCAGUCCCAGCUGGAUGGGAAAUUAUUGAAAAUGGCUGUUGUUUGAUUGAUAUAAAAUGAGUUGUCAGCUUGAUUCAAUACCUCCAGGGCAGAUGUCCACAGCAUAAUUGGCACCUGUCAGAAGCAAAGAAUUCCUUGGUACAGAGUAACAACUACUCAUGCAACCACCCAAAACAGCCCUUGCAUGCCAGGGCUCAGAGAAGAAGGCAGGAAAAAACAAUUUCUACUUCUGGGAAGGAUCUUUUAUGCCAUAAAGUCAAUAAGAGAUUUGACAUGACAGUUGGUGCAAGCCUUUCCCUCAGAUCCUGGCUAGACACUAUCAGCUCUCCUGCUGUUUGGUCAACACUCCCCCUAAGAAUUAGAAGAAAACACACACAUUUGAUUAUUUUAUUAUAAUUUCCACUGUAAAAAUGUAUUUAUUAAGAAGAGUCAGUAAAGAAAUUUUUACAUGUCUGCUUAUUAUAAAAAACGCUGUGAACAAUUUUAUUUUCCCAUUUCCUGAGCCAUUCUCCACACAGCAAUAACUUAGCCAUACAAGUAGGAAAUAAGAGAGUGUCUUCUUAGCCAAAAAUAAGGCAAAGAAACAGCCAGGACUGACAGUACAUCGGCAUCAGUAUUACACUGUUUGCUAAUAGUAAACACUGACCUAUUGUUUACCACAGACUGGAUUAAAAUGGGGUUUUUUUCUAUAAGUCUCCAAAUAGCUGUCAUAUGGUUAUUACUGCCUUUGACCAAAUGUGGUACAGCUAAUAACAGGAAUGAAUUCAAUUUCCCAUCACCAAUCUGUCGAGCUGGCCACCUUCUUCAUGGAGCUGGUGCUUUGGGAGGUACUAACUGAAGGACUUUCCACUAAAACUCAUUUUACUGUCUUCAUCUAGUGCAUGGUUCAACUUUCCUUCUUUCCUUUCAUCUCUGUUUCCUCCUUUAGAUUAUUUUUCAUUAUGCCUCCCCCCCAACAUGCCCACACUUUGCCUUUCAUCUCUAUAUGUAUGCUAUUCCAGCACUUGUCAGGCCCAGCAGGAGGCACAUGGGAGAACCAAACAAUAUGAUAUGUUAGGUGGAAGAAAAUAUUAUUAUCAGACACCUUAAAACAAUCAUUUAUUGUCAAACUUUAAAGAGGUCUGCUUUGUUAUUUAUUUUAUUAUUCUGUAUUAGGUACAUGGUUUAGUUUUACAGGCAUUAUUAAUCACUAAAAUACAUUACACUUUCAGCCAGGAUGUUAACAUUUUAAAUGCAUUCAUCUUGCUUCUUUAAACAGAAACAAUGGGCCUUCUGCACUGCCCUCCCUCCCCUCUAGUCAAUAAAUCCUUUCUAUUGAUUCAGGAAAUAACUCUUAAGCCCUGUUUUAUAUUUUAAGUUCCAGUAGCCACACUCAGCCAUAUAAUUUCGCUUAAUAACAAAUGGAUCUUCUAUUUUUGCUGCUUACUAUGUGUUUGGUUAUAAAACUCAGCUUGAAAGUACUAGGUAGAAGGGGACAAAACCUAUAAUGGCUGUGAGUCACCACAAGAGAUUUCUUAAAUGCAUGUUACAAUAAAAUAAGUAUCUGUGAAAA